rnacentral:rRNA from 1 species
UUAUUUUAUUUUUAUUUAAUUUUUUUCUUUAUUUACUCUAGUAGUUAUCGAAUUUUUAUUUAAUUAAAAUUUAAUUUUUAAAAUAAAAUACUUUUAUAUAAUUUUUUAUUACCUUUUGUAUCAGGGUUAAUUAAUUUUAUUAUAAAUAUUUURCUCCCGAAAUAAAAUUCUCAAUUUAACUAUUAUUUUAUUUGUUUUAUAAAAUAAUUUAAUUAUUAUAUUGAAGAUAUAUUCUAUUCGAUUUUUAUUAUAUCUGGUUUCUUAAGARUAAAUUAAAUUUUAGAGUUAUUAAUUAAUUUUUAUUUAAUUAGGGAUAAUCUUAAUUUUAUUAUACAAUUUAUUUUUWAAACACUUUUAUUAUUUUUUAAAUUUUAUAUUUAGUUAUUAACAUAUUUAAUUGUUUAAUUAAAGAUUUUUUAUAUAUUUAUAUUUUUAUUAAGUUUAUAUAACUAUUAUUUUUUUAUAUUUAAUUUUGAUUAAAUUAGUAAAAUUUUAAAUUUAAAUUUAAUGAAUUCGACAAAUUUAAUUUUCAACUGUUUAUCAAAAACAUUUCUUUUAGUUUAUAUUGAAAGUAUAUUCUGCCCUAUGAUGAUUUAAAUGGCUGCAGUAUUUUAACUGUACAAAGGUAGCAUAAUAAUUAGUUUUUUAAUUGAGGACUGGAAUGAAAGAUUUAAUGAGAUAUUAAUUUUAUUAAUAAAAUUGUUUAAAUUUUAUYUUUAAGUUAAAAAGCUUAAUUUUAUUUUUGGGACGAGAAGACCCUAUAGAGCUUAAUUUAUUAUUAUUAAUUUUAGUUAAUUUUUUCUUUAAGAGUAGUAUAAAUUUUAUUGGGGUGAUAAGUAAAUUUAAACUUUAUUUUUUUWUARCAUUAAUUUAUGUUUUUUUUGUUCAAAUUUUUUAUUAUAAGAAAAAGUUACCUUAGGGAUAACAGCGUAAUUUAUGUGGGGAGUUCAUAUCUAUACAUAAGUUUGCGACCUCGAUGUUGAAUUAAGAUUAUUAAAGAAAGAAGUAUUUUUUAUAUUAAGUCUGUUCGACUUUUAAAUUCUUACAUGAUUUGAGUUCAAACCGGCGUAAGCCAGGUUGGUUUCUAUCUUAAUAUAUUUUUUUUUAUCUUAGUACGAAAGGACCAGUUAAUUAAUUUUAAAUUUUUUUUAU